GUACGGCGAGUGAGAGGAAGAGCUCAAAGUUGGAACCUGUUUGGCCUAGCUAAACCGGAUUGUAGACUGUAGAAGUGUUUUCCAGGCAAGCCGAGUAAAUAAGUCCUUUGGAACAGGGCAUCAUAGAGGGUGAGAAUCCCGUCUUUGGCUUGAGCAUUUGCCUUUUGUGAUACGCUUUCAAAGAGUCAGGUUGUUUGGGAAUGCAGCCUAAAUUGGGUGGUAAAUCUCACCUAAAGCUAAAUAUUGGCGAGAAACCGAUAGCGAACAAGUACCGUGAGGGAAAGAUGAAAAGAACUUUGAAAAGAGAGUUAAACAGUAUGUGAAAUUGUUAAAAGGGAACCGUUUGGAGCCAGACUGGCUUGUCUGUAAUCAAUCUAGGCUUCGGCCUGGAUGCACUUGCAGGCUAUGCCUGCCAACGACAAUUUGACUUGAGGGAAAAAACUAAGGGAAAUGUGGCCCACUUGUGGGUGUUAUAGUCCCUUAGAAAAUACCUUGGGUUGGAUUGAGGAACGCAGCGAAUGCUUUUUGGCGAGUUUUCCAGGAAGGUUUUCUGAGGUACUACGGUAUCAAGGUUGAUCUUUUUGGUUAUACUUCUAUUCGCUUAGGUUGUUGGCUUAAUGACUCUAAAUGACCCGUCUUGA
rnacentral:rRNA from 1 species